rnacentral:rRNA from 1 species
UAGGGAAUCUUCCACAAUGGACGCAAGUCUGAUGGAGCAACGCCGCGUGAGUGAAGAAGGUUUUCGGAUCGUAAAGCUCUGUUGUUGGUGAAGAAGGAUAGAGGCAGUAACUGGUCUUUAUUUGACGGUAAUCAACCAGAAAGUCGCGGCUAACUACGUGCCAC